UNGCCAGCUGCGUUGUUGUUUGUUGAGAUU
rnacentral:piRNA from 1 species